rnacentral:rRNA from 1 species
CGCCAGACUCCUACGGGAGGCAGCAGUGGGGAAUAUUGCACAAUGGGGGAAACCCUGAUGCAGCGACGCCGCGUGAGUGAAGAAGUAUUUCGGUAUGUAAAGCUCUAUCAGCAGGGAAGAAAAUGACGGUACCUGAUUAAGAAGCCCCGGCUAACUCCGUGCCAGCAGCCGUGGUAAUACGUAGGGGGCAAGCGUUAUCCGGAUUUACUGGGUGUAAAGGGAGCGUAGACGGCAGUGCAAGUCUGGAGUGAAAGGCGGGGGCUCAACCCCCGGACUGCUCUGGAAACUGUACGGCUGGAGUGCAGGAGAGGUAAGUGGAAUUCCUAGUGUAGCGGUGAAAUGCGUAGAUAUUAGGAGGAACACCAGUGGCGAAGGCGGCUUACUGGACUGUAACUGACGUUGGGGCUCGAAAGCGUGGGGAGCAAACAGGAUUAGAUACCCUCGUAGUA